CUGAUAAACAUUAUUUAAGGGCCGCAGUAUUCUGACUGUGCAAGGUAGCAUAAUCAUUAGGUUUUUAAUUGAAAUCUUGUAUGAAUGAUUGGACAAAAGAAAUACUGUCUUUGUAUUAAAAUUUGAAUUUAACUUUUAAGUGAAAAGGCUUAAAUAUUCUAAAGGGACGAUAAGACCCUAUAAAACUUUACAUUAAUAUUAAAUUUUAUUAAAUUUAAGUUAUAAUAAUUAAAUUUAGUUUUUUGUUGUGUUGGGGAGAUAAAAGCUAUAAUUAUGUUUAACUGCUUGUAAGAAAAACAAAGAUAAAUGGAGUUAAAUUAUAGAUCCUUUUUAAAGAUUUAAAGAUUAAGUUACUUUAGGGAUAACAGCGUUAUUUUUUUUGAGAGUUCAUAUCGAAAAAAAAGAUUGCGACCUCGAUGUUGAAUUAAAAUAUCUUUAUAAUGUAGGUGUUAUAUAAGAAGGUCUGUUCGACCUUUAAUUUUUUACCGUGAUCUGAGUUCAACCGGG
rnacentral:rRNA from 1 species